rnacentral:lncRNA from 1 species
CCCAUACAAUUUUCAUACACCAUAAAAUUAUUUAUAUACCUAUUUCUAUAUAGAUUAGACACUAUAAAAUUAUUGAUAUACCAAUUUCUAUAUAUUUUAGACACCAUAAAAUUAUUGAUAAACCAAUUUCUAUAUAUAUCUCAGACAUCAUAAAAUUGUUAGUACUUAUACAUCAAUUUCGUUCAAACACCAUAGAAUUAUUGAUACACUAAUUUAUAACUCUUUCAGACACCAUAAAAUUAUUAAUACAUCAAUCUUUGUAUACGUCAACCAUCAUAAAAUUAUUGAUACACCAACUUUUAACUAUUUCAAACACCAAAAAAUUAUUAAUACACUAAUUUCUAUACAAUUUGAAAUAUCAAUUUCUAUACCAUUCAUACACAAUAAAAUUAUUGAUACACUAAUUUCUAUGUUAUUUAUGCAUCAUAAAAUCAUUGAUAUCCUCCUCCAUCGAUGCACUGAAAAAUUCUGGAAACUCAUCAAAACUACCGAAAAAUCCAAUCUAGCCGACCACCUUUUAGUGCAGCCAUUGCUCCUUUUGAAGCUGUAGCAGCGCCUUGAGUAAAAUCUACCAAUAGUACAAGUAAGCAAUCACACAAAAACAACAUAGCAAAGCCACUUGCUGAUCUAUCCAUGGCCUAUAUAAGGUGCCAUCCCCUCCCCCCAACCCAACCAACCAACCAAAAAAAAAAAAAUUCUCAUUCCUCUCUCAUCUUCUUUCUCCUUCAUAGCCGUUUUUCUCCUGUUCCUUUUCCUCCAUCUCUGUACACCUUCUCUGUGAUUUUUGGAAAUUAUUAACAAUAACGUUGAUCCGAUUAAAGAAAAUUUAAAGAAAUGAAGAACUAAUUAGUUGAUUUAAUGAGAGAAAAAAUGUGGAAAAUUUAAGGGAGUUUGGGUGAAGUAGCGAAGCCAUUUGGGGGGAGAAAGGAAAGAAACUGAUUCUGUACGUUUUAUUUAUUUUAUUUUAUCCCUUUUUAUUAUGAGAAAGAAGGAGGAUGUGAGAAAAUGGUUAAAUAAAACUGACAAUGAUAGAUUUUUCAAAUAAACAUUACAUUUUAUAAAUAAAAAAUAAUACUAUUGAUAUGUUUUAUAAUAGAGAAAAUACAUCGAAUCACUCAU